rnacentral:rRNA from 1 species
GUGCAGCAGGCGCGAAACUUUACAAUGUGCGAAAGCACGAUAAGGGAACUCUGAGUGCCUCCUAAGGAGGCUGUUCAGGUGUCUAAAAGCACCUGAAGGAAGGGCUGGGUAAGACCGGUGCCAGCCGCCGCGGUAACACCGGCAGCCCAAGUGGUAGCCACGUUUAUUGGGUCUAAAGCGUCCGUAGCCGGCUGGGUAAGUUCCUUGGGAAAUUUGGCUGCUUAACAGUCAAGCUUUCAGGGAAUACUGCCCGGCUUGGGACCGGGAGAGGUCAGGAGGUACUCCGAGGGGUAGGGUGAAAUCCAUUAAUCCGUUGGGGACCACCGGUAGCGAAGGCGUCUGACCAGGACCGGUCCGACGGUGAGGGACGAAGG